AGUGUCGCUAGCGAUCUAAAGUUCAUUUCAAAAAUAAAGUGUUAGUGCGUGGAAUCCAAUUAUUGCUCCAAAGGUUUAAUUGUCUACAAAUUGUAAUUCAUUUUUACCAAUUUUUGAUUUAAUAUUGUUACAAAUGUU
rnacentral:lncRNA from 1 species